UUAUCUAUUCGAUAACUAAUAUAUACCAAGCUUAAGUUUAUUAGUAUUUUGGACUAUAUAUCAUAGUAAUGAAUCUUAAUUCCGUACUAGCGCAUGAAGGACCAGCUCUUGGUAUACCGGAACUAAAUGUUCACUUUGAUAAGAAUUUAAGAUUAAUAUAUGUACAUGUUUUUAGCUUUUAAAUUAAUUAAAGAUCUUGGAUAAAAAAAAUUAUGAUAUUUUAUUAAUUUAUAGAGUCAUUAAUUUAAAAAGGUUUUAUUUUUAGUUUUUUCUAUUUUUCUAUUUUAUUUAUAAAAUAAAAAAUAUUUUAUUUUACGAUAUACAUUAAUUAAAUUUUAGAAAUUCG
rnacentral:lncRNA from 1 species